ensembl:lncRNA
UCACCACCAGGCAGUCAGAUAUAUUACUUACCUCAUCACGCUGUAUUGAGAGAGGAUAAGGCAACAACGAAACUGCGGGUUGUGUUUGAUGCGUCAUCCCACGAAGACAGAAGUCCCUCACUAAAUGACUGUCUUUUAACAGGUCCCAAUCUGAAUCCCGAUCUGAUGAGUAUUUUGAUCAAAUUCAGACUGCAUGAAAUUGCAUAUAUGGCAGAUAUCAAGAAAGCAUUUCUGCAGAUAUCACUCUCAGAAAGAGAUCGGGACGCUGUAAGAUUUCUGUGGUUCACUGGACCACCAACAGAGGAGAAGGAUGUGACGCUGCGCUUGCUCAGAAUGACGAGAGUGGUGUUUGGAGCUUCGUCAAGCCCAUUCUUACUUGCAGCCACCAUAAGGAAGCAUUUAAGACAGUACGAGCUCGAACACCCGCAAGUGGUAGAAGCCCUCAGCUCCUCACUCUACGUAGAUGAUUUCAUUUCAAGUGCAAGUGGGGUGACAGAGGCACAUACAGUGACGACAACAGCCAGGAACAUUAUGUCUGCUGCAGGCAUGGAGCUAUGUAAAUGGAUGACAAACUCUCCUGAGCUCAAAGAAAAAUGGCAGCAAGGGUUGAUGGAUUGUGCUGUGCAUCCAGAGUCACACGUGUCUGUGCUGAAGGUGCUGGGUAUGGUGUGGAGACCAGCCACUGAUGACUUUGUGUUCGACCUCAGGGGGCUGCUUGAUAUUCUGAAAGAAAGAGAAAACACAAAACGAAGUGUUCUGCAGUCUUCUGCUCGUAUUUUUGACCCUUUAGGAUUCCUGACUCCUUUCACCAUCAGGAUUAAGUGCUUGUUCCAAGAGAUGUGGGAGAGAGGGAUCAAGUGGGACGAGAAAUUGCCACUUGAUCUGACGAAGAAAUGGCAACAGUGGUGCUCUGAGCUCCCUCAACUGCAUCAGCUCUCAAUCCCACGAUGGUACCAAACACACAUACCACGGCAGGACGGUCAAGUGUUGAGGCUACAUGUGUUCUGUGACUCGAGUGAAAGGGCGUACAGUGCAGUCGCUUAUCUUCAAGGAGAAACAAAAGAAGGAGAAGUGACCGCAAGCCUGGUUGCAUCUAAGUCCAGAGUGGCUCCACUCAAAAGGAUGACACUGCCACGCCUGGAGCUAAUGGGUGCUGUAAUAGCAGCCAGGCUGGGGAACACCCUCAUGAAAGCACUGCAACUAGACAAGACGCAACUCAGACUAUGGACAGACUCAAUGAUAGUGCUGCAUUGGAUUUGUGGUUCUGCUCAUAAGUGGAAACAGUUUGUAGCAAAUAGAGUCAUGGAAAUCCAGUCUCUAACUGAUCCACAGUCAUGGUCUCACUGCAAAGGGAAAAUAAAUCCAGCUGAUCUUCCCACCAGAGGUCUAACUGUGCAGGACCUGAAGCAGAGCACAUUGUGGUGGAAUGGUCCUUGUGUUCUGAUGUCAACUGAUCAGUUAGAGAGCACUCAGGAAGAUGUUCAAGAGGAUGAGGUAAAGUCUGAACUCAGAUCCAAAUACCAGAUUGCUGUACAGCUUGUUAAGCAAGACCAAGACUUCUUAAGCCCUGUUUUAUGUCUGGAGAAGUACAGCAAACUAAAAACAGUGCUCCGGGUAACAGCCUGGAUAAAGAGGUUUAUCACCAACACCCGCUCAAGCAUAAACAUCAGUGGUGAACUGACGGCAGAAGAGCUGAAUGAAGCAAAUAAAAACUGGAUAAAGGUGAUUCAGAACCAGAGUUUCAGCUCUGAAAUUGAUCUGCUGAAAGCAGGGAAAU